rnacentral:lncRNA from 7 species
GGAAAAAUGAGAGCUUCCCGGACUCUGCGGAGUGGGAGCAGCGCCUCCUAAAGGUACAGCAUUGCCGGAAGGCACGGUGCGGAGAAGUGUCUGCCUGUCUCAAGGAGCCCCGCUCCCAUACAGGACAGGAACAGCCUCUCAAAUGCUGCUGUGGAGCGGCCGCACGCCUUUGUGGUGCUGCCUCUUCCUCUUUGUCCCAAGCCCAAGGGGGGUCCUAGGAGAAGAGCAGCAGGCGGCUAUAAGGGAGGGACUGCUGGCAGGAGCUGGGAGAGGGGCUGCUCUUCCAGUCACCUCUCCCCAGAAGACUGCGGCGAUGUGGGAAUGUGGGAAGAGGCAAAGGGCAAGGAAACAUUGGCUUCUCCUGUUCUCCAACAGUUCCUGAGGGCGUCAUUGGCUACCAUGGAGGAUGAGGCCUGGACCAAGGGCCUGAGCUGCGAGCUGAGCCGGUGGCUGAGCAGCUCUCCCAGCAGCUCUGGAGAAAAGUCUUUCCUGUACAAGGCUCUGGGGACAGUGCUGGGAGCUUGUAAGGAAGUCCUCCACAUCCAAGAGAAGCUCCUGCAACACCUGGAGGAAGCAAAUGCAGAGGAGCCCUCUGAGGCCCAGGUGAGGUCUCUUCCCAGCCAGCUUCUGCCAGCAUCCCCGGUCUGUCCCUUGGGCAGAGCGCUUCUCCUGGCCCUGCUCCGAGCCUUUCGAUCUCCUCACUGCUGCUCUUUCCCUCAGGCGAGGACCAGCCCGACCACUGUGGCUGGCCGUACCAGUAGGUUCAGGCCUGCGCCAACUGCCCCUUGUUCUUUUGUGCAGGGAAUGAUCUCUCUUCUCAGCCAUGCUGCUGAGAGCAACUUCCACACAGCCCUGGACACGCUCACCAUGUUUGCGUCCAGGCUGUGCAGAGGCCAGAAUGGGAGGAUUUCCAGACGCAAGAAGAUGGAGCUGGACAGCAGAAGAGCUCAGGCCACCCGCAGCGCUCUCAUCCUCGCCCACGGCAGCUUGGCACUGCGUGCCUCCAAGGAACAGCUGCUCGCCCGCCUGGAGGGAGACAUCGUGGGCAACAUCCUGCUGCUCUACAGCUGCAGCUGCCGGGUGAGAGCUCGUAGCGUGCCAGGCUGUCUGAGCACCCAGCUGCAGCCCCUCCACGUGGGGGGAUGCUGA